GCUCAGAUUGGUUACUAGGGCCGUUUCGUAUUUACAGUUUGGUGAGAGUUUGCUGUAUAUGAAAGGCCUCACUGUGAAUUGCAAUAAAAGCACAAUUUCUUUGUAUUUUGUAUUUUGUAUUUUUCUUGUGUGGAUAUGGGUUUUGUGUCAUAUAUUGGUACAACAUGUCAUUUCUUUUUUCUUAAUACUAUUCAGUUCAUAUGUGUAAUUUCUAAUGCAUUAUCUUGAUAAUUG
rnacentral:lncRNA from 1 species